UAGGGAAUCUUCGGCAAUGGGGGCAACCCUGACCGAGCAACGCCGCGUGAGUGAAGAAGGUUUUCGGAUCGUAAAGCUCUGUUGUAAGAGAAGAACGUGUGUGAGAGUGGAAAGUUCACACAGUGACGGUAACUUACCAGAAAGGGACGGCUAACUACGUGCCAGCAGCCGCGGUAAUACGUAGGUCCCGAGCGUUGUCCGGAUCUAUUGGGCGUAAAGCGAGCGCAGGCGGUUUAAUAAGUCUGAAGUUAAAGGCAGUGGCUUAACCAUUGUUCGCUUUGGAAACUGUUAAACUUGAGUGCAGAAGAGGAGAGUGGAAUUCCAUGUGUAGCGGUGAAAUGCGUAGAUAUAUGGAGGAACACCGGUGGCGAAAGCGGCUCUCUGGUCUGUAACUGACGCUGAGGCUCGAAAGCGUGGGGAGCAAACAGG
rnacentral:rRNA from 1 species